rnacentral:rRNA from 1 species
UACAUGCAGUCGAGCGGACAGAAUGGGAGCUUGCUCCCUGAUGUUAGCGGCGGACGGGUGAGUAACACGUGGGUAACCUGCCUGUAAGACUGGGAUAACUCCGGGAAACCGGGGCUAAUACCGGAUGGUUGUUUGAACCGCAUGGUUCAAACAUAAAAGGUGGCUUCGGCUACCACUUACAGAUGGACCCGCGGCGCAUUAGCUAGUUGGUGAGGUAACGGCUCACCAAGGCAACGAUGCGUAGCCGACCUGAGAGGGUGAUCGGCCACACUGGGACUGAGACACGGCCCAGACUCCUACGGGAGGCAGCAGUAGGGAAUCUUCCGCAAUGGACGAAAGUCUGACGGAGCAACGCCGCGUGAGUGAUGAAGGUUUUCGGAUCGUAAAGCUCUGUUGUUAGGGAAGAACAAGUACCGUUCGAAUAGGGCGGUACCUUGACGGUACCUAACCAGAAAGCCACGGCUAACUACGUGCCAGCAGCCGCGGUAAUACGUAGGUGGCAAGCGUUGUCCGGAAUUAUUGGGCGUAAAGGGCUCGCAGGCGGUUUCUUAAGUCUGAUGUGAAAGCCCCCGGCUCAACCGGGGAGGGUCAUUGGAAACUGGGGAACUUGAGUGCAGAAGAGGAGAGUGGAAUUCCACGUGUAGCGGUGAAAUGCGUAGAGAUGUGGAGGAACACCAGUGGCGAAGGCGACUCUCUGGUCUGUAACUGACGCUGAGGAGCGAAAGCGUGGGGAGCGAACAGGAUUAGAUACCCUGGUAGUCCACGCCGUAAACGAUGAGUGCUAAGUGUUAGGGGGUUUCCGCCCCUUAGUGCUGCAGCUAACGCAUUAAGCACUCCGCCUGGGGAGUACGGUCGCAAGACUGAAACUCAAGGAAUUGACGGGGGCCCGCACAAGCGGUGGAGCAUGUGGUUUAAUUCNAAGCACGCGAGAACCUUACCAGGUCUUGACAUCCUCUGACAUCCUAGAGAUAGGACGU